rnacentral:lncRNA from 1 species
GUUGUUGAGAGUUUUAAAAAGUCACAGGAUUAUUCGAUUUAUAAUCAAAAAAAAUCCAAAAAUAUGAGACCUAGAAAAUUUUCAAAAAAUGAUAAAGGUAUGUAUAAUACUAUGUAUUAUGAAGAAAAUGAAGUUAAUAAUAAUUAUGUUGAAAAGGAAAAAAAUUUCGAAACUCAAGAUACAUACAAUGAUGAAAUAAGUGAUGAAGAUUUUACUGAUUUCCAUUUAAAAAGACAAAAUUUAUCUGGAAAUACCAAUAACACAAAGGGAUGUCAUAUGAACGAAUCCUUUAAUAAAAAUAAUUCAAAUUUAAACAUAAAUAUUUCAGAUAACAUAGAAUUAAAUAACGCAAAAGGAGUUUGUAAUAAUAAUGGAAAUGCCUAUUCAGCAAAUAUGGAUAAAGUCAUUUUUAACACGUUUGAGAACAACAACAAAAAAAAAUUUAUUCAUCAAGAGAAACAUUCAUACACGAUUGUCGGAAAGCAGCGGGAUGGAAAUAAUUACAGCGAAAAAAAUUUUAAACCAUAUUCUUUAAAAAAUGAUGAUAUUAAUACAAUAGAAUAUUUGAAUAAUAAUAAUGAUACAAAUGGUACUAUUAAAAAUAAUAACAAAAAGGACAAAAUUAAUACGAACUGCAAUAACCAUAAUAACAGUAAUAAUAAUAGUAUAGAUUAUAAAAGAAAUAUAUUUAUAGGUAAAAGUAAAUCGUUAAAUAGAAACAAUGCUUAUGAAAAAAAGGAAAUGGUCAAAACAUUUACAAGUAGUACUAUAAUUGAAGACAGUGUAGAAGGAGUGAAUGAUUAUAUGCAUUUGCCAACUAGUACGACUCAUAGUAGUUUUUCAAAAUCAAGUGAUAAAAAAGCGGAUACAAAUGAGUAUACGCCAAACAGAGAAGCAAACUAUGAUUUCAAAAGUGCAUUAAAUUUUCAAUUUUGUAAAACAAAAAUGUGUCCAUACAUGAAUACUAAAGAAAAAUGCAAAAGAUUUUCUAAUAAUAUGUGCCCAUAUGCACAUGACAAAAGUGAAUUAAAACCUAUUCCUAACUUAUAUAAAACUGCAAUGUGUCGUAAUUUUAUGAAAAAUAUGUGUUUUAAGUCAAAGAAGGAGUGUAAUUUUGCACAUAAUGUUGAAGAACUUAGAUCGACUGAUGAAUUUUACAAAACAACACUAUGUAAAUUUUUUCUUAAUGGUUAUUGCAAAGCAGAUAAAAAUUGUCGACAUGCUCAUGGACAGAAAGAGCUAAAAUGUAAACCAACUAAUUAUACGUUGUUAGAAAAUGGUAAGGAAUGUUUGAAAAAUAUGAAUACUAUUAAUAUUGAUGAGAAUACUGAGUACAGUGGUAACAAAGAUACUAACAAUGAAAAAGAAAAUAGUAAAGUUCAUAUGAAUAAUGAUAUGAUAAAUAAUUUAAAAAUUUCAGAUGAAAUUUGUUAUGUAAAUGAUAGUAAAGAAAAUACUUUAACAAAAGAUGAAGAAGGUAGUGUAUUAAAUAUGUAUGAUACAAAAACAGACAAUAACAAAAUGAAAAAAAAAAAUUCUUAUAACGAUUCAAAUCAACUUACGUCUUCUCGUUCGAAGUGCACAUACCCGUUUUUAUCAGGUGAAGUAUAUAAAAAUGUAACAAUGUGCGAACACGAUGAUAAUGAAAGUGUUAAAACAAUUGAAGAUUGUAACUUUAUGGGGAAUAACAGAAGACUAUCAAAAGUGAAAAACUUUGAAAGUUCAAAGAGUUAUGGUAGAUAUGACGAAAAUAAUCCCGAAAUUACAGUAAAAGCUAAGGAAAAUGAUGGCUGUGAUGAUAUAAAAAAUAACAAAAUGAAUGAUUCUAGGAAACUAAAUGCAAGAAAAAAUAUAAUGUUAAGUAAAUUUAAUUCAUUAGAAAAUCAAUAUGAGAAAGAAAAAGAGUGUGAAAGAGAUGUAGAAGAUAAUGGAAUAGGAAUAAGGAAAAUUAACACGUUAGGAAGAAAAGAUGAAGAAAUUGAAAAGUUAGAAAAUAAUAUGGAUCCAAAACUAGAACAUGAUAAUGAAUUAUUAAAAAAUUCUGAAUCAUGUAAAAAUAAUAAUAUGAUAUCAAAUGAUAACAUUUCGUUACAAAAAGGAGAGAAUGCAAUGUGUAGUAGUAAUAGUGGUAAUAUAUACACAGAAAAAGAUAAAAAGAAUUAUAGUAAUGGAGUAAAUUGUAAUGAAGAAACUUUUCAAAAUAAAAUAGAAAGAAAUAAAAACUCCAAAAGUAGUAUUAGCUUGAAUUCGUUUAAAAGAUCUCAUAAUGAUAAAUUAACGAAUGAGCCAACAAAAAUUGAAAAUAGAAAAAUAAAUAGAAAUGUUGACCUUAUGGAUUCAAAAAAUUUAAACAGUGAAAUAGAAUAUGGAAAAAGUUCUAGUAUGAUUAAAUCUAAUGAAAAUAGUAGAUAUAUGUAUAAUGGUAGCGGAGAAUUUGAUAAUGGUAAUAGUAAUAACUACGGAUAUGAUAACAAUUAUAGCAGCAAAGACGGAAAUACAAAUAACUUCCAAAUAACAAAAAAUGGUACACGUGAAUAUAACAAAAGCGGUUAUAAAAAUAAAAGAAAUUUUAAUAGUAACAAUAACUAUAAAAAUUUCAAUUACAAUGAUAAUAAUUAUAAUGGUAUGAUAGGGAAUAACUUCAAUGAUAAUUACAAAAACGUAAAUAGAAACAAUGGAAAUGUCAGAAAUACCAAUAACAACUACAUGGUUUGUGGAAAUGUAACACAUAACAAUAAUAAAAAUAGAAAUAGUAAUAGCGCAAAUAAUAGCAAUAAUAACAGCACCAAUGGUAGCUAUAGAAAUAGUAACCAUAUGAAUGAUAACUACUUGAAUAAUAACAAUAUGAAUGAAAAUUAUAGGAAUAAUAGCAUUAGAAGUAAUAAUUAUAAUAAUAAAAACUUAAGAAGUAAUAACAAUAUGAACAAUUGUUUGAGUAACUGUAACGUUGGGGAUAAUAACAAAAAUAGUAAUAACAACUUGGUAAAUAGUACUAUUGAAAAUAUGAAUAG